GCGCGCAAAUUACCCAAUCCUGACACGGGGAGGUAGUGACAAUAAAUAACAAUACCGGGCGCGUUAGUGUCUGGUAAUUGGAAUGAGUACAAUCUAAAUCCCUUAACGAGGAUCCACUGGAGGGCAAGUCUGGUGCCAG
rnacentral:rRNA from 1 species